rnacentral:rRNA from 1 species
UACGUGAGGUGGCAAGCGUUGUCCGGAUUUACUGGGCGUAAAGAGCGCGCAGGCGGUCGUGCAAGUCGCGUGUGAAAGCCCCCGGCUCAGCUGGGGAGGGUCACGCGAUACUGCUCGACUCGAAGGCAGGAGAGGGAAGUGGAAUUCCCGGUGUAGUGGUGAAAUUCGUAGAUAUCGAGAGGAACACCGGGUGGCGAAGGCGGCUUCCUGGACAGUGACUGACGCUGAGACGCGAAAGCGUGGGGAGCAAACAGG